rnacentral:rRNA from 1 species
CCUACGGGAGGCAGCAGUGGGGAAUUUUGGACAAUGGGCGCAAGCCUGAUCCAGCAAUGCCGCGUGAGUGAAGAAGGCCUUCGGGUUGUAAAGCUCUUUUGUCAGGGAAGAAACGGUGGGGGCUAAUAUCUCCCACUAAUGACGGUACCUGAAGAAUAAGCACCGGCUAACUACGUGCCAGCAGCCGCGGUAAUACGUAGGGUGCAAGCGUUAAUCGGAAUUACUGGGCGUAAAGCGUGCGCAGGCGGUUUUGUAAGUUUGUCGUGAAAUCCCCGGGCUCAACCUGGGAAUGGCGAUGAAGACUGCAAGGCUAGAAUCUGGCAGAGGGGGGUAGAAUUCCACGUGUAGCAGUGAAAUGCGUAGAGAUGUGGAGGAACACCGAUGGCGAAGGCAGCCCCCUGGGUCAAGAUUGACGCUCAUGCACGAAAGCGUGGGGAGCAAACAGGAUUAGAUACCCUGGUAGUCCACGCCCUAAACGAUGUCUACUAGUUGUCGGGUUUAAUUAACUUGGUAACGCAGCUAACGCGUGAAGUAGACCGCCUGGGGAGUACGGUCGCAAGNUUAAAACUUAAGGAAUUGACGG